UCCCUGGAGGACUAGGGGUUAGGCCUUGGUGCUUUCACUGCUGUGGCCCGGGUUCGACUCCAGGCCAGAGAA
rnacentral:tRNA from 1 species